GAUAUACAAAGGAAACUGACAGAAAGAUGCAAAGGAAAUGUAAAUUUCUCUAUAUCUGCAUUACAACACCGUCUCUUUUCUUCAAAAUAUGACAGGAUUAAUCUUUGUUCACAUCGAUACAAAUACACCAUGAACAUGCAUUCAGAGGACAAACAGAGAAGACAAAGGAGGGAAGGGAGCACAAAUCAAGACUCAUGACUCUACUGUUGUUUGGAAUCAAUAUGCAUUCGGAUGAAUCAACUUUGAUAUUUGACAUCAUUGAGUAGAAAUAACACAAAAGCAUGGGAGGAAGAACAAAACGAAGCAUGGAAGAUUAGACACCAAACAUUAAGUCGACAAUUUUAGACACAACGGAUCUCGCUGGGGUGGCAACGGAUCCAGAUGAUUGCUUUGCACUAUUGCUGCCAUUUUGGAGAUAACAAGGUUGAGAGGAGGUUCUAAAUGGAGUCGGGUCAUUGCUUUUACUGGUUGGAGCAUGCGGUAAAGGUAUAAAUCCCUGCUUGUUGAGCCUAUCAUCCAGUGCCUGACGUUGUGUUGGAUCCACUGGUUUAACCCCAAUCAUAAGAACUCCAUUUAUCUGCAUACCGUUCUUGUUAAGAGCUUUUUGAGCAUCAGCACGAUUCUGAUAGAGAAUGUGCAUCCAAUUAGCAUCUCGGGGGCCCAGAAUGUGUUUCAAAAUGACACCACAUUUCUCAAAUUCCCGUAAAACUGAAUUGGUGUCAAUUGGGGAAAACCCAUAAACUGUGACCCAUUCUUCCUCAUUAAGGUUUCCCACAGGGAUUGAGUUCUUCCUGAUCUCUGGCCUUGCAACUUCCCUU
rnacentral:misc_RNA from 1 species